AGCGGAAGGAGUUUUACUCAAAGUUAGAGUAGAAAAACCAAGCUUUGGAGGCAGAGAAAAACCAGUGUGAAGCCAGGACCAAGACAAGCAAUUUGUCUGGUCCAAUAAACUGUAUAUGGUACACGUGGGGGCUGCAUGCUGGUGAUCUGCUCGCUGACUUGAUUAUCCUGACUGUGGACAGUAAGCUGGUGUUGGCGGAUGGGCAUAUCCCAUGGGCGUGUGAGUCAUUCUCAAGGCUACACGAACGGGACCUUGUCUGAGCGCUGGCUCUGAUUUGGCAAAGGUCUCUGCUUCCUGCUUUUGAAUCUGCAGAAAUGCGCACCUUAGCAGAGAGUUUAAGUAGGAAUAUCAUUCGUGGGAAUCCAAAUGUGAAGUGGGAAAGCAUCAAAGGGUUAGAGAAUGCAAAACGCCUUCUCAAGGAAGCAGUUGUGAUGCCAAUAAAGUGUCCCAAGUAGGUCUCAUUAAGUCUGGCAAUGCCUCAUGGAUAGUUCUAUUAAAAUUGUUGAGAAUUAUUUGAGAAAUUUUCUUUUAGAUGAAUAAUUUGUUAGCUUUUGAAGCUCAUUACGUUAGGUAUAAGCUUUGUAUUGCAUAUUGCGCCACUUUUUAUCCUUUCAUUUCUUCUGUGUCCAUUUGGUGAACUUCUCUAAUUA